GGAUCAAGCAUUUCAAGUAG
rnacentral:snRNA from 1 species